rnacentral:rRNA from 1 species
GAAGAGUUUGAUCAUGGCUCAGAUUGAACGCUGGCGGCAGGCCUAACACAUGCAAGUCGAACGGUAACAGGAAGCAGCUUGCUGCUUUGCUGACGAGUGGCGGACGGGUGAGUAAUGUCUGGGAAACUGCCUGAUGGAGGGGGAUAACUACUGGAAACGGUGGCUAAUACCGCAUAACGUCGCAAGACCAAAGAGGGGGACCUUCGGGCCUCUUGCCAUCAGAUGUGCCCAGAUGGGAUUAGCUUGUUGGUGAGGUAACGGCUCACCAAGGCGACGAUCCCUAGCUGGUCUGAGAGGAUGACCAGCCACACUGGAACUGAGACACGGUCCAGACUCCUACGGGAGGCAGCAGUGGGGAAUAUUGCACAAUGGGCGCAAGCCUGAUGCAGCCAUGCCGCGUGUAUGAAGAAGGCCUUCGGGUUGUAAAGUACUUUCAGCGGGGAGGAAGGUGUUGUGGUUAAUAACCGCAGCAAUUGACGUUACCCGCAGAAGAAGCACCGGCUAACUCCGUGCCAGCAGCCGCGGUAAUACGGAGGGUGCAAGCGUUAAUCGGAAUUACUGGGCGUAAAGCGCACGCAGGCGGUCUGUCAAGUCGGAUGUGAAAUCCCCGGGCUCAACCUGGGAACUGCAUUCGAAACUGGCAGGCUUGAGUCUUGUAGAGGGGGGU